AGAGUUUGAUCCUGGCUCAGGAUGAACCCUAGCGACCGGCUUAACACAUGCAAGUCGAGGGGCAGCGGGGAGGUAGCAAUACUUCCGCCGGCGACCGGCGCACGGGUGAGUAACACGUAUGGAACCUGCCCGUAGCAGGGGGAUAAGCGGAAGAAAUUCCGUCUAAUACCGCGUAAUAACUCCGAGAGGCAUCUCCUGGGGUUUAAAGGGUAACACCGGCUACGGAUGGCCAUGCGGCGCAUUAGCUAGUUGGCGGGGUAACGGCCCACCAAGGCGACGAUGCGUAGGGGUUCUGAGAGGAAGGUCCCCCACACUGGUACUGAGACACGGACCAGACUCCUACGGGAGGCAGCAGUGAGGAAUAUUGGUCAAUGGGCGCGAGCCUGAACCAGCCAAGUCGCGUGAGGGAAGACGGUCCUAUGGAUUGUAAACCUCUUUUGUCGGGGAGCAAAAGACGCCACGCGUGGCGUUCCGAGAGUACCCGAAGAAAAAGCAUCGGCUAACUCCGUGCCAGCAGCCGCGGUAAUACGGAGGAUGCGAGCGUUAUCCGGAUUUAUUGGGUUUAAAGGGUGCGCAGGCGGAAGAUCAAGUCAGCGGUAAAAUUGAGAGGCUCAACCUCUUCGAGCCGUUGAAACUGGUUUUCUUGAGUGAGCGAGAAGUAUGCGGAAUGCGUGGUGUAGCGGUGAAAUGCAUAGAUAUCACGCAGAACUCCGAUUGCGAAGGCAGCAUACCGGCGCUCAACUGACGCUCAUGCACGAAAGUGUGGGUAUCGAACAGAAUUAGAUACCCUGGUAGUCCACACAGUAAACGAUGAAU
rnacentral:rRNA from 1 species